UACCAGCUCUCCGAGUGGUAGGGAUGAUUAUUGGGCUUAAAGCGUCCGUAGCCGGCUUAGCAAGUCUCCUGUUAAACUCAGCGACCUAAUCGUUGAAUCGCGGGAGAUACUACUAGGCUAGGAGGCGGGAGAGGUCGACGGUACUUCUGGGGUAGGGGUGAAAUCCUAUAAUCCCGGGAGGACCACCAGUGGCGAAGGCUGUCGACUAGAACGCGCUCGACGGUGAGGGACGAAAGCUGGGGGUAGCGAACCGGAUUAGAUACCCGGGUAGUCCCAGCUGUAAACGAUGCGGGCUAGGUGUUGGGAUGGCUACGGGCCAUUUCAGUGCCGCAGGGAAGCCAUUAAGCCCGCCGCCUGGGGAGUACGGCCGCAAGGCUGAAACUUAAAGGAAUUGGCGGGGGAGCACCACAAGGCGUGAAGCUUGCGGUUC
rnacentral:rRNA from 1 species